rnacentral:rRNA from 1 species
AUUGAACGCUGGCGGCAUGCCUUACACAUGCAAAUCGAACGGUAACGGGCCUUCGGGUGCCGACGAGUGGCGAACGGGUGAGUAAUACAUCGGAACGUGCCCGAUCGUGGGGGAUAACGAGGCGAAAGCUUUGCUAAUACCGCAUACGAUCUACGGAUGAAAGCAGGGGACCGCAAGGCCUUGCGCGGACGGAGCGGCCGAUGGCAGAGUAGGUAGUUGGUGGGAUAAAAGCUUACCAAGCCGACGAUCUGUAGCUGGUCUGAGAGGAUGAUCAGCCACACUGGGACUGAGACACGGCCCAGACUCCUACGGGAGGCACCAGUGGGGAAUUUUGGACAAUGGGCGCAAGCCUGGUCCAGCCAUGCCGCGUGCAGGAUGAAGGCCUUCGGGUUGUAAACUGAUUUUGUACGGAACGAAAAGCCUUCUUUUAAUACAGGAGGGUCAUGACGGUACCGUAAGAAUAAGCACCGGCUAACUACGUG